GGCCCUAUCGUCUAGCGGUCUAGGACACGGCCCUCUCAAGGCUGAAACACGGGUUCAAGUCCCGUUAGGGCUA
rnacentral:tRNA from 1 species